rnacentral:rRNA from 1 species
CCGUGUUCGAAAGGGAAACAGCCCAGACCACCAGCUAAGGUCCCAAAAUAUAUGUUAAGUGGAAAAGGAUGUGGCGUUGCCCAGACAACUAGGAUGUUGGCUUAGAAGCAGCCAUCAUUUAAAGAGUGCGUAAUAGCUCACUAGUCGAGUGACACUGCGCCGAAAAUGUACCGGGGCUAAACAUAUUACCGAAGCUGUGGAUUGUCCUUUGGACAAUGGUAGGAGAGCGUUCUAAGGGCGUUGAAGCAUGAUCGUAAGGACAUGUGGAGCGCUUAGAAGUGAGAAUGCCGGUGUGAGUAGCGAAAGACGGGUGAGAAUCCCGUCCACCGAUUGACUAAGGUUUCCAGAGGAAGGCUCGUCCGCUCUGGGUUAGUCGGGUCCUAAGCUGAGGCCGACAGGCGUAGGCGAUGGAUAACAGGUUGAUAUUCCUGUACCACCUAUAAUCGUUUUAAUCGAUGGGGGGACGCAGUAGGAUAGGCGAAGCGUGCGAUUGGAUUGCACGUCUAAGCAGUAAGGCUGAGUAUUAGGCAAAUCCGGUACUCGUUAAGGCUGAGCUGUGAUGGGGAGAAGACAUUGUGUCUUCGAGUCGUUGAUUUCACACUGCCGAGAAAAGCCUCUAGAUAGAAAAUAGGUGCCCGUACCGCAAACCGACACAGGUAGUCAAGAUGAGAAUUCUAAGGUGAGCGAGCGAACUCUCGUUAAGGAACUCGGCAAAAUGACCCCGUAACUUCGGGAGAAGGGGUGCUCUUUAGGGUUAACGCCCAGAAGAGCCGCAGUGAAUAGGCCCAAGCGACUGUUUAUCAAAAACACAGGUCUCUGCUAAACCGUAAGGUGAUGUAUAGGGGCUGACGCCUGCCCGGUGCUGGAAGGUUAAGAGGAGUGGUUAGCUUCUGCGAAGCUACGAAUCGAAGCCCCAGUAAACGGCGGCCGUAACUAUAACGGUCCUAAGGUAGCGAAAUUCCUUGUCGGGUAAGUUCCGACCCGCACGAAAGGCGUAACGAUUUGGGCACUGUCUCAACGAGAGACUCGGUGAAAUCAUAGUACCUGUGAAGAUGCAGGUUACCCGCGACAGGACGGAAAGACCCCGUGGAGCUUUACUGUAGCCUGAUAUUGAAAUUCGGCACAGCUUGUACAGGAUAGGUAGGAGCCUUUGAAACGUGAGCGCUAGCUUACGUGGAGGCGCUGGUGGGAUACUACCCUAGCUGUGUUGGCUUUCUAACCCGCACCACUUAUCGUGGUGGGAGACAGUGUCAGGCGGGCAGUUUGACUGGGGCGGUCGCCUCCUAAAAGGUAACGGAGGCGCUCAAAGGUUCCCUCAGAAUGGUUGGAAAUCAUUCAUAGAGUGUAAAGGCAUAAGGGAGCUUGACUGCGAGACCUACAAGUCGAGCAGGGUCGAAAGACGGACUUAGUGAUCCGGUGGUUCCGCAUGGAAGGGCCAUCGCUCAACGGAUAAAAGCUACCCCGGGGAUAACAGGCUUAUCUCCCCCAAGAGUUCACAUCGACGGGGAGGUUUGGCACCUCGAUGUCGGCUCAUCGCAUCCUGGGGCUGUAGUCGGUCCCAAGGGUUGGGCUGUUCGCCCAUUAAAGCGGUACGCGAGCUGGGUUCAGAACGUCGUGAGACAGUUCGGUCCCUAUCCGUCGUGGGCGUAGGAAAUUUGAGAGGAGCUGUCCUUAGUACGAGAGGACCGGGAUGGACAUACCUCUGGUGUACCAGUUGUCGUGCCAACGGCAUAGCUGGGUAGCUAUGUGUGGACGGGAUAAGUGCUGAAAGCAUCUAAGCAUGAAGCCCCCCUCAAGAUGAGAUUUCCCAACUUCGGUUAUAAGAUCCCUCAAAGAUGAUGAGGUUAAUAGGUUCGAGGUGGAAGCAUGGUGACAUGUGGAGCUGACGAAUACUAAUCGAUCGAAGACUUAAUCAAAA